ensembl:lncRNA
AUGAAAUGGAAUAGCCAGUCUCAUACUGAGCCAGACAACAGAGAGUGGCCGUGAGACUUCGUUCUUGUGGACAGAGGACAAGAGAAAAGCAAGGAGCCUGGGGCUGUUUUCAUCCCCAGAAUAUUUUAUCUUGUUCAACUAUUCUGAAGGCUGAACAGCUAUCUUCUCUGCAGUACUGUGCCUUGUGAAUUCUCAACCAAAGGAGACUGCUGAGUUCUGCUUGGGUUCCUGUCCCUAAGCUAGAGCCUGGAAAUGCUCUCUAAGGAGAAGAUGGGGCAGUUGGAGGAUUCACCGUGUUUCCUGUCACUCAGAGAUCACUGUCCUGAACUAUUGUUCCAUGUCUGAAACCAUUGCUUCUUGUAUUUCAUCUGGUUUUGAGCUGGAUAAAGGAACUAAAAAGAGCAGGUGAUAAAUAACAACUUCAGUCGUGAUUAAUACCAUGAAUCCUUCAACCUGACUAAUGCAAAAGAACUUGAGACCUACAGAACAAGUGGGUGAUAAUUGUUGUGAGAACUGUUGAAGCUCUGCUCAGCUUGUGAGAGAAGAAAUCCACAGGAAAUGAGGCGUUAGCCAGCAGUCCAGCUGAUCCUCCAAGGCUUCAUUAAGCCCAUCUCAGCGACAUUCGCCUCCGUUUGACUACUAGUGCUAGGUUUUCUCACUCCCAACACUUAAGUUUUAAGUAUCUUGAGAAAAGAAAGGACUAACUCACCUUUGCAUACAUUUAAAUAUUUAUUAAAUGAAUGACUGAAUAAUAAAUGAGGAAAUAUAUUUUUUGCCUAAGUAGUAGGCCUUCUAAUAUGGGUCAUUUGAGAGCUACAUAUGGUUAUCUUGUCAUUUCUCUAAUAAUGCACUUGUGCAUAAAUGUAGUUUUGCUAGAACCCAGAGCAAAGUUAACAUUCUCUGCUGGCAAAAAGGAAACUAUUAGCAAUGGCCAGUAGCUAAAGCCACAUGACGCCAUCAACUUGAUUAUCAUCAUUUAUUACCAGAUACUAAGGUAAAAAUACCAGUGGUUCUCAAUUAGGCAGAUGGUCAGGGGACUGUGUAUUGUUUGACAAAGAUUCCCAGGAUUUCCUUGCCUCCCAAUUGAGAAACUGCUUUAAAUAGCACUAUUUUAAGUCACAAAUCAGUGGGUUCGUAACAGUGGUCAAGUAGUUAAAUAAGGCCUAAAGACAUGUUUGUUUGGCAGGCAACUUGUUUUAGUCUUUAAUUUUAUUUUAAUGCCUUUAGGUAGAAGGAUGCGUUCUCCAGUUUGGCACAACUGCCACUAUUCCUUUUGUCUAAUACCUCACUCUGUGUCUCACUCUAUUCAUUACAUGCUUGGCUUCCGGCUUGAGUUUGGGACAGACAGAACUGAGUUGAGUGUGAGACAGACAACAGUAACAAUAGAGUAUGAAAAUAACUUGGAUACAGGUAUGUGAUUAUAUAGAGGUUUUCAAGAAUUGUAAGCUUCGAUUUCUUCAGUUAAAAAACUGUUUACCCCUGGGCUGGGGAUUUAGCUCAGUGGUUCUGCUGCCUGCCUCAAAAACACAAGGUCCCGAGUUCGAUCCCCAGUACCAAAAAAAAAAAAAAAAAAAAAAAAAAAGUUUACCCCUACCCUUCUAAAGGAAUGUCUGGCAUGGUAUAAUGAUCACUUGAAAAUUGCCCAGUGCUAUAAGUGAUGUAGAAACAUAGUAAUAUGGAAAACUGCACAGAGCUAUAUAUAAGUGCCAUGGGAAUGUAACCCAGCCUGGAUCACAGGACAACUCUUAAAAUAGUUUCAAUUAAAAUCUAAAGUGGAAAAGAAGAGAAUAAAACAAGAAUCACCUGUCCUAAUUAACCAAGUGUCUCAUUACUCCUAGUAAAAAUGUAUAACCUUACACUGAAAUUCUAGACUACUGAUGUAUCACUGAGUCCUUAAAUUAUGAGGAAACAGAAUAUCUAAACAAUAAAAAAUAAACAGAAGUGAUAGCAAAAAAAUCUAUUCUCCCCAAAAGCCAAUGACUUUUGAAUGAUAAUCCCUAUCUUGCAUGUUUCAGAGAACAGAAAAGAGGUGUCAUCCAAUUUAUUUCCUUAAACUUUAUUGAAGUAUAAUUUACAUACAAUAAAAUACAGUACGAUGCACUUGACAAAUGUGUACAUCUUUUUUUCCUUUUUUAUUGGUACAUUUUAGAUAUACAUAAUGAUAACAUCAUCAU